rnacentral:lncRNA from 1 species
UGUUAAUGACCCAUUUUAUAAUGGGUCAGUGUGUAUAACUAGUUUCUCAGCACUAUAGGAUCAAGAGCAUCUUUGGUACUUAGACAGUGGUUGCUCAAGACAUAAGACAGGAUCCAAGUCUCUCCUGGAAGACUAUGUCAAGAAAAGUGGCCCUGUAGUUACAUCAAAGACAAUGUUUAGAAGGGCAAGGUUGUUCUAGAACAUGUCAAGACUUCAGAUCAACUAGCUGAUUUUUUCACCAAGGCCCUGGAUACUCAAACUACUGCUCACAUUAUUGGAGAACUUGGAAUGAUCACUCUGGAUUAAAAAAUGUUUUUCUAAUGUUUGCUAUUGUCUUAUAAACUAAUGUAUUUUUUUGCUGAUGAUGAUGUGCUGAUGAUGUUUACCAUGCUGAGUACAUUGUAUGAUCUCUUAUCUCUAUCUUUUCUACAAAUCUUCUAAACUAAAGUUGAAUGAUUCACUGUAUUAAACCAUACACUGAUAACAACUUGAAACUCUUUGCCGAUGGUUAGACCAAAACACCAAGGUCUAUCACACGCAACUAUCCCUUCUUACCAAUCUUACACUGAUUCUGUGAUUCAGUGUGACAAAACACAUGCUGAUGAGAGUCUAACAGUCUUUGCCGAUGGUUAGACCAAAACACCAAGGUCUAUCACACGCAACUAUCCCUUCUUCCCAGUCUUACACUGAUUCUGUGAUUCAGUGUGACAAAACACAAGCUGAUGAGAGUCUAACAGUCUUUGCCGAUGGUUAGACCAAAACACUAAGGUCUAUCACACGCAAAAAUCCUCUAUUCACCUUCUUCUCACUCAGUGUCUAAUGAUUCAGUAAGAAGCACCACUCACUGAUAAAGACUCAACACUCUGUGCCGAUGGUUAGAUAAUUAAACCAAUAUCUAUCACACGCACCAACCACCUUGCUAACCUUAAACAAGCAAGUUGUACCUUGAAUUGACGACAGACUAUCUUUCAGCAUGUAACUUUUCGUGACACUGAUCUCAGCGCUUCCGCAGACACUGAAUAUCAUUUCCUCUUCAACGACACUAAUGCUGAAAUACAAGCUGAUCCUAGUCAAGAAGGUGGCCAUACCUCUCCUCAACUUUCUCACCAUACCAUUUCAGUCACUGAAAGGAUUCGUUUAGCUCAUGGGGAGCCAUCUGCUCAGGGGGAGCAACCAUCUCAAGGGAUGCCACCAUCUCAGGGGGAGCAACCUUCUCAGGGGGAGCAGCAUCGAUCACAAGAAAUUACAGGCACUCAGCUCAUUCAAAUACCGGCCUUAGCGUUUAAUGAGCUUCUUAUACUGACUAGAGACAUGAGUCAGCGUCUUCUGCGUAUUGAGGCUGAUGUCAACCAACUGAAGAGAGUUCUUCUGUCAACUCCUUCCCCUGGCCCAAAUGAUGAUGAUGAUCAAAAAGGGGGAGAAUCUGAUUCUGUUGAGCCGGUUCAACAUCAGUUCAUCUCUGUUCCAGAACAUGGAAUGUUUUAUCUUGACAAGAACAGAAAAAUGUGUUUUCAGCGAACUGCAGAGAUUCCAAGGGCUCCAACAACUCAUCUCGUUGGCUUAAGACAAAUGUGCAUGAGCCACCAAGAUCUUUCUGGAGAAUUUCAUAUUCUAAUUGCUAUGGAAUUGCUGAAUAUAAGUCAGGAGCUGCUGGACAGUCCCUACUGGCCAGUAAAAGUAGAAGCUGAAGCUGAGUAUGAAGAAUUCUUGUCCAGAGGUGUUCUAAUCUAGUUGGUUUUGAACAUCAUCAUAUUGGGGGAGAUUAUAAGGUCAAACCUUGAAAUAUGAUGAUGUUUGAAACUAGUCUAUCAGCGUCAGCGCAUGACUCAGCAUCAGCAUCAACAUCAGCAUCUCAGUUGAUCAGUAUAUAUCUUUAUUCAGCACGUUGUAACAGUUUUUGUAUUUAUCUUGUUUCCAUAGUUAGCGUAAAUUAGUUAGCUGGCAUAUCCCUGAUUUAUAGGGAAUGUCUAGAAUAGUAGUAUAUAAUCUUUUGUAUCGGUUUGUGUUGCUUUAAGCCUUUCACAAACCCUAAUAGCCGCUUUGUGCAUACGAUAAUCUCUUUGUGAGAUUAUCAUUCUUAGUGAAAGUUUUUCUUUGUGAAUCUUUAUUUUUCUUAUUUAUGAUCAUUGUUUGAUAAGUUGUUUGAUAUUUGGGUCGUUCAAUUAAUUUCACAUAGAAAAACUUUCACUAAGAAUGAUAAUCUCACCAAGAGAUUAUCGUGUGCACAAAGUGGCUAUUAGGGUUUGUGAAAGGCUUAAAGCAACACAAACCGAUACAAAAGAUUAUAUACUACUAUUCUAGACAUUCCCUAUAAAUCAGGGAUAUGCCAGCUAACUAAUUUACGCUAACUAUGCAAACAAGACAAAUACAAAAACUGUUACAACGUGCUGAAUAAAGAUAUAUACUAAUCAACUGAGAUGCUGAUGUUGAUGUUGAUGCUGANUUGCCGAUGGUUAGACCAAAACACCAAGGUCUAUCACACGCAACUAUCCCUUCUUACCAAUCUUACACUGAUUCUGUGAUUCAGUGUGACAAAACACAUGCUGAUGAGAGUCUAACAGUCUUUGCCGAUGGUUAGACCAAAACACCAAUGUCUAUCACACGCAACUAUCCCUUCUUACCAGUCUUACACUGAUUCUGUGAUUCAGUGUGACAAAACACAUGUUGAUGAGAGUCUAACAGUCUUUGCCGAUGGUUAGACCAAAACACUAAGGUCUAUCACACGCAAAAAUCCUCUAUUCACCUUCUUCUCACUCAGUGUCUAAUGAUUCAGUAAGAAGCACCACUCACUGAUAAACACUCAACACUCUGUGCCGAUGGUUAGAUAAUUAAACCAAUAUCUAUCACACGCACCAACCACCUUGCUAACCUUAAACAAGCAAGUUGUACCUUGAAUUGACGACAGACUAUCUUUCAGCACGUAACUUUUCGUGACACUGAUCUCAACGCUUCCACAGACACUGAAUAUCAUUUCCUCUUUAACGACACUAAUGCUGAAAUACAAGCUGAUCCUAGUCAAGAAGGUGGCCAUACCUCUCCUCAACUUUCUCACCAUACCAUUUCAGUCACUGAAAGGAUUCGUUUAGCUCAUGGGGAGCCAUCUGCUUAGGGGGAGCAACCAUCUCAAGGGAUGCCACCAUCUCAGGGGGAGCAGCAUCGAUCACAAGAAAUUCUAGGCACUCAGCUCAUUCAAAUACCGGCCUUAGCGUUUAAUGAGCUUCUUAUACUGACUAGAGACAUGAGUCAGCGUCUUCUGCGUAUUGAGGCUGAUGUCAACCAACUGAAGAGAGUUCUUCUGUCAACUCCUUCCCCUGGCCCAAAUGAUGAUGAUGAUCAAAAAGGGGGAGAAUCUGAUUCUGUUGAGCCGGUUCAACAUCAGUUCAUCUCUGUUCCAGAACAUGGAAUGUUUUAUCUUGACAAGAACAGAAAAAUGUGUUUUCAGCGAACUGCAGAGAUUCCAAGGGCUCCAACAACUCAUCUCGUUGGCUUAGGACAAAUGUGCAUGAGCCACCAAGAUCUUUCUGGAGAAUUUCAUAUUGUAAUUGCUAUGGAAUUGCUGAAUAGAAGACAGGAGCUGCUGGACAGUCCUUACUGGCUAGUAAAAGUAGAAGCUGAAGCUAAGUAUGAAGAAUUCUUGUCCAGAGGUGUUCUAAUCUAGUUGGUUUUGAACAUCAUCAUAUUGGGGGAGAUUAUAAGGUCAAACCUUGAAAUAUGAUGAUGUUUGAAACUAGUCUAUCAGCGUCAGCGCAUGACUCAGCAUCAGCAUCAACAUCAGCAUCUCAGUUGAUCAGUAUAUAUCUUUAUUCANAAUAGCCGCUUUGUGCACACGAUAAUAUCAUUCUUAGUGAAAGUUUUUCUUUGUGAAAUUAAUUGAACGACCCAAUGAUCAAACAACUUAUCAAACAAUGACUGUAAAUAAGAACAAUAAAGAUUCACAAAGAAAAACUUUCACUAAGAAUGAUAAUCUCACCAAGAGAUUAUGGUAUGCACAAAGCGGCUAUUAGGGUUUGUGAAAGGCUUAAAGCAACACAAACCGAUACAAAAGAUUAUAUACUACUAUUCUAGACAUUCCCUAUAAAUCAGGGAUAUGCCAGCUAACUAAUUUACGCUAACUAUGCAAACAAGACAAAUACAAAAACUGUUACAACGUGCUGAAUAAAGAUAUAUACUAAUCAACUGAGAUGCUGAUGUUGAUGUUGAUGCUGAGUCAUGCGCUGACGCUGAUAGACUAGUUUCAAACAUCAUCAUAUUUCAAGGUUUGAGACCAACUCCUCUCACUGAAAAUAUUAUCGCAUUUCCUAUCUCAAACGGAGUGUUUCAUGCUGUUCAUGAACAACUUGAACAAUAUCCUGAUUGUAGUGUUUCAGUACAUAAGUCAAAAUCUGAUACUGAUGUCAGCUCCUCAUCCAUCACUGAUUGUAGUUCUUCUGACACUGAAUUCUUUAGUAAUUCAAUGUUAAAUAAAAGAACUCAAAGUUCACUUGGUGAAUCUUUCAAAUAUAAAUAUGUUAAAUCUAAACAUCUGCUCACCAAGAAAAACUUUGGUACUAGAGUUUCUUACAGAUGUGGUGAUACCUCUCACAAGAUCAGUGAAUGCAUGUUUGAUAAAACAUCUUUAUGGGCUGACAACAUCAGAAUUAGAAAUGAAAAAUGGACUCUUAAAUCAAAUUCUUUGAACUGUCUUCCUAAAGAGUGUUAUAAUUUAUUGUCGAAUAACUUUGUGAAUGACCCAUUUUAUAAUGGGUCAGUGUGUUCUAACUAGUUUCUCAGCACUGUAGGGUCAAGAGCAUCUUUGGUACUUAGACAGUGGUUGCUCAAGACAUAUGACAGGAUCAAAGUCUCUCCUGGAAGACUAUGUCAAGAAAACUGGUCCUGCAGUGACAUCAGAGACAAUGUUGAGAAGGGCAAGGUUGUUCUAGAACAUGUCAAGACUUCAGAUCAACUAGCUGAUUUUUUCACCAAGGCCCUGGAUACUCAAACUACUGCUCACAUUAUUGGAGAACUUGGAAUGAUCACUC